rnacentral:rRNA from 1 species
AGAGUUUGAUCAUGGCUCAGGAUGAACGCUAGCGGCAGGCUUAACACAUGCAAGUCGAGGGGUAUAGGUUUUCGGACCUAGAGACCGGCGCACGGGUGCGUAACGCGUAUGCAAUCUACCUUUUACAGAGGAAUAGCCCAGAGAAAUUUGGAUUAAUACCUCAUAGUAUUAUUGAAUGGCAUCAUUUAAUAAUUAAAGUCACAACGGUAAAAGAUGAGCAUGCGUCCCAUUAGCUUGUUGGUAAGGUAACGGCUUACCAAGGCAACGAUGGGUAGGGGUCCUGAGAGGGAGAUCCCCCACACUGGUACUGAGACACGGACCAGACUCCUACGGGAGGCAGCAGUGAGGAAUAUUGGUCAAUGGGCGCAAGCCUGAACCAGCCAUGCCGCGUGCAGGAUGAAGCAUCUAUGGUGUGUAAACUGCUUUUGUACGAGAAGAAACACUCCUUCGUGAAGGAGCUUGACGGUAUCGUAAGAAUAAGGACCGGCUAACUCCGUGCCAGCAGCCGCGGUAAUACGGAGGGUCCAAGCGUUAUCCGGAAUCAUUGGGUUUAAAGGGUCCGUAGGCGGUUUUGUAAGUCAGUGGUGAAAGCCCAUCGCUCAACGGUGGAACGGCCAUUGAUACUGCAAGACUUGAAUUAUUGGGAAGUAACUAGAAUAUGUAGUGUAGCGGUGAAAUGCUUAGAGAUUACAUGGAAUACCAAUUGCGAAGGCAGGUUACUACCAAUAUAUUGACGCUGAUGGACGAAAGCGUGGGGAGCGAACAGGAUUAGAUACCCUAGUAGUCC